rnacentral:rRNA from 1 species
GUGUCAGCAGCCGCGGUAAUACGGAGGGUGCAAGCAUUAAUCGGAAUUAUUGGGCGUAAAGGGCGCGUAGGCGGAAAAGCGUGUCAAAUGUGAAAUUCCAAGGCUCAACCUUGGCGCUGCAUUUGAAACUACUUUUCUGGAGGGUAGGCGGAGAAAACGGAAUUCCACGUGUAGCGGUGAAAUGCGUAGAUAUGUGGAAGAACAUCGGUGGCGAAGGCGGUUUUCUAGCUUAUUCCUGACGCUGAGGCGCGAAAGCAAGGGGAGCAAACAGGAUUAGAUACCCUGGUAGUCCUUGCCGUAAACGAUGCAUACUUGAUGUAGCUGGGCUCAACCCUGGCUGUGUCGGAGCGAACGCGUUAAGUAUGCCGCCUGAGGAGUACGUCCGCAAGGAUAAA